AGCUCCUGAAUUAUCAAGUCCCUUACCAGUAGAAACACCAACACCAGAAUAUUCAACACCUCUAUUCACAGCAACAGCUUCUGAAUUCUCAAUUCCCUUACCAGUAGUAACACCAACACCUGAAUAUUUAACACCUAUAAUGCCAGGAAAGUCCUUAUGUAGCGGGGCCAUUUCUAGUACUUAUGGAGCUAUUAGAAACCCCCCAAAUAUUGAAAUGAAAGACAACUUAACAUGUGUGUGGGAGAUCAAAGCAAACGUAUCUGAUCAUAUAAAGCUGGCAUUUCCUUU